rnacentral:misc_RNA from 1 species
CUUGAAAGAGCCAACUGUGACUUGCCAAAAUGCAAUUCCGUGUGGGUGAAAUGAAGUACAGCUGGAAAUAACAAACCCAUGACUGCCAUCAACAAUAAUCCUGAGUUCACAAUGGCAGUAGCCUUAUUAAAGACCUGAACUUUCUGCUGAUGAAUAAUUCCACCACUGAAGAAGGCACAGCCAAGAACCAAGAGCAUAUUUGAUAAAAUGGAACCCAGCAAGGACUGUUUAACAACCCGCAUCAUUCCAUUGUUCAAUGCAUAUAGCGAGAUUAUCAUUUCAGUUGCAUUUCCA